rnacentral:rRNA from 1 species
UACGAAGGGUGCAAACGUUGCUCGGAAUCACUGGGCGUAAAGCGCACGUAGGCGGCUUGUUAAGUCAGGGGUGAAAUCCUGGAGCUCAACUCCAGAACUGCCUUUGAUACUGGCGAGCUUGAGUUCGGGAGAGGUGAGUGGAACUGCGAGUGUAGAGGUGAAAUUCGUAGAUAUUCGCAAGAACACCAGUGGCGAAGGCGGCUCACUGGCCCGAUACUGACGCUGAGGUGCGAAAGCGUGGGGAGCAAACAGG